GAAACGCCCUUCGUCCCUUCCGUUUCUAGCGUCAAUAUUGAUCACAACGUUUAGUGGAUCUCGAGUCAAUUAGAAGUUCUACAUCUCAAACUGUCUUUGUAACGGGUUUACAAGCAUGAGGCGCGGUGUUCGAUUCUCAGCAGAGAUUCUACGGCUUUUCCAAAUCAGGACCCGUAAGCAGAGAAGCUCAAGAGAUUUCAUCAUUCUAUUAGAGCUUUCGAGGAAAGGCACUCUAUCGUAUCGGGACAACGGUAAGGCAAAAGGCAAGACUUUUAAGUAUUGAAUCAGCUAACUUUCAGUUAAAUUCUCGUCGGAGUUCGCAGCCUCGCCGGGUUUGUUUCAAAGGUUCGACUAUAGGGGGUAUCUGUUGCAUCUCCCAUAGAGAACAGCUGAACGACCGACCCCCGUCCAAAGAGGACAACAGCAGCCGUUGGAAAACGAGUUCCUAGCAACAGCAGCAGCAGCAGCAGCAACACCACUGUCAGCAACAUAAGAAUCUCAAUGCAAAUUGUUAAGAUUACCCCACGAGAUCGCAGCGCGUUAACUGCUAGCCAAGAUCUCCCUCCGCCCGUACCAUGUAUCAGCACACAGGCGGACAUUGUACGCUGUCGACUCAAACAACUCGACCGACAGAAACGACAGUCGUCGCGAACCCUAACAACAGCAAAGGCAUUAGCAACAAACUGUUUAAAGACAACAUUGGCCAUUGGACGUAUGGUAACCGCCAGACUACGUACAACUGACGACAAUUCGGUCCCGGCGAUCGUCGGCGUUCAUCAGUUGACAGUUCGCCGCAGUCCCAAACUAAACGAGUACUACCCAAUUUCGCCGGAUAUGAUUCACGCUAGAGGCACGCUGAUGGAGUGCAUGACUUGUUCCAGCGUGGACGCGCUGGUUAUUACCGCGUUUAGUCGCCAAAUCAUAAUGGUGUACCUAUUAUUAAGUAGCCGACAAGUACGGCAUUUAAGCGAUAGCUAACGAUCGGCAGUAUUUAGUAAUAGUGCGCGAUGCUUUAGGUGGCUAUACCAUUAGCUGAGAAAGCCAACGGGAGUCU